rnacentral:rRNA from 1 species
UACGGAGGGGUGCAAGCGUUAUCCGGAUUCACUGGGUUUAAAGGGUGUCGUAGGCGGAUAGGUAAGUCCGUGGUGAAAUCCUGGCAGCUUAACUGCAGAACUGCCAUGGAUACUAUCUAUCUUGAAUGUCGUGGAGGUUAGCGGAAUAUGUCAUGUAGCGGUGAAAUGCUUAGAUAUGACAUAGAACACCCAUUGCGAAGGCAGCUAACUACGCGAUAAUUGACGCUGAUGCACGAAAGCGUGGGGAUCAAACAGG